GCCCGCCUAGCUCAAUCGGAUAGAGCGUCAGACUCUUAUUUGUGUUCCUCCCUAAUUUGAUCUGAAGGCUGCGAGUUCGACCCUCGCGGUGGGCU